AUACUUACCUGGCAGGGGAAAUACCAUGAUCAUGAAGGUGGUUUUCCCAGGGCAAGGCUUUUCCAUUGCACUCCAGAUGUGCUGACCCCUGCGAUUUCUCCAAAUGUGGGGAACCUCGACUGCAUAAUUUGUGGUAGUGGGGGACUGUGUUCACACUCUCCCCUA
rnacentral:snRNA from 1 species